AAGUCGAAACAAGGUAGUUGACAGUGAACUUGUAGCUG
rnacentral:rRNA from 1 species